CCCGUACAGUGAUGUGCGGCUAAACUCUCAGAAGUCAGCAGAGGCCAUAGUGCUCUGGUAGUCAUGAAUACUAGAAUACUAGAGGAAGGGC
rnacentral:ncRNA from 1 species